AUUGAACGCUGGCGGCAGGCUUAACACAUGCAAGUCGAACGAGUGGCGGACGGGUGAGUAAUGCUUGGGAAUCUGGCUUAUGGAGGGGGAUAACGACGGGAAAGUGUCGCUAAUACCGCGUACCAUUGGAUGGGCCCAAGUGGGAUUAGGUAGUUGGUGGGGUAAUGGCCCACCAAGGCAACGAUCUCUAGCUGGUCUGAGAGGAUGACCAGCCACACCGGGACUGAGACACGGCCCAGACUCCUACGGGAGGCAGCAGUGGGGAAUAUUGCGCAAUGGGGGCAACCCUGACGCAGCCAUGCCGGGUGUAUGAAGAAGGCCUUCGGGUUGUAAAGUUCUUUCGGUAGUGAGGCGGUAACUACAGAAGAAGCACCGGCUAACUCCGUGCCAGCAGCCGCGGUAAUUC
rnacentral:rRNA from 1 species